rnacentral:rRNA from 1 species
UACGUAGGGCGCAAGCGUUGUCCGGAAUCAUUGGGCGUAAAGAGCUCGUAGGCGGCCUGUUGCGUCCGCUGUGAAAUCCCGGGGCUUAACCCCGGGCGUGCAGUGGAUACGGGCUGGCUGGAGGCAGGCAGGGGAGAACGGAAUUCCCGGUGUAGCGGUGAAAUGCGCAGAUAGUCGGGAGGAACACCGGUGGCGAAGGCGGUUCUCUGGGCCUGUACUGACGCUGAGGAGCGAAAGCGUGGGGAGCGAACAGG